GCGCCCUGUCAGGGAAGAUGAGACAUCGGACUUCUAAUCCGACGGUCGCAGGUUCGAAUCCUGCCGGGUGCGCCA
rnacentral:tRNA from 1 species